AAUCAACGCUGGCGGCGUGCCUCAGACAUGCAAGUCGAACGAUUAAGACUCCCUUCGGGGAGUGCAUAAAGUGGCGCACGGGUGAGUAACACGUAAGUAAUCUACCUUCGAGUGGGGAAUAACGUCCGGAAACGGACGCUAAUACCGCAUAACGCAGCGGCAUCGCUAGAUGACAGUUGUUAAAGGAGCAAUCCGCUUGAAGAGGAGCUUGCGGCAGAUUAGCUAGUUGGUAAGGUAAUGGCUUACCAAGGCUUCGAUCUGUAUCCGGUCUAAGAGGACGGUCGGACACACUGACACUGAAUAACGGGUCAGACUCCCACGGGAGGCAGCAGUCGGGAAUUUUGGGCAAUGGGCGAAAGCCUGACCCAGCAACGCCGCGUGAAGGAUGAAGUAUUUCGGUAUGUAAACUUCGAAAGAAUGGGAAGAAUCAGUGACGGUACCAUUUAUAAGCUCCGGCUAACUACGUGCCAGCAGCCGCGGUAAUACGUAGGAGCAAGCGUGUUAC
rnacentral:rRNA from 1 species